rnacentral:tRNA from 1 species
AUAUGUGUGGUUCAGCUGCAGAAUUCUUGCCUUCCAUGCAGGAGACCUGGGUUCAAUUCUCAGCAAUGUG